UUUUUCUAUCUUUACAGAAAGCAACCAUUGGAACUGUGAAAGGUAAACUCUGGCCAUGUUCUCAUAGAGAUUUCCAGCACCCACAAGAAACUCAACGAGACUCUCGAUGAGAAUUUCAAAAAAUUCCAUAAGGAGAUUAUCCAUGAGUUGGAGAAGAAGACAGAACUUGAUGUAAAGUACAUGAACGCUACUCUUAAAAGAUAUCAAGCAGAACACAGGAAUAAAUUAGAUUCUUUGGAGAAAUCUCAGGCGGAGUUGAAGAAGAUCAGAAGAAAAAGUCAAGGUGGACGAAACGCACUCAAAUAUGAACACAAAGAAAUCGAGUAUGUGGAGACAGUUACCUCUCGCCAGAGUGAGAUCCAGAAGUUCAUCGCAGAUGGCUGCAAAGAAGCGCUGCUUGAGGAGAAGAGGCGCUUCUGCUUUCUGGUGGACAAGCACUGCAGCUUUGCCAGUCACAUACACCGCUAUCACCUGCAGUCUGCAGAAUUACUUAACUCCAAGCUGCCCCGAUGGCAGGAAACCUGUUGUGAUGCCACGAAAGUCCCAGAGAAAAUCAUGAACAUGAUAGAAGAGAUAAAGACGCCCAUCUCUACCCCAGUGUCCGGGACGCCACAGCCAUCGCCCAUGACGGAGAGAAGCAAGAUGAUUGGGAAAGACUACGACACCCUUUCUAAAUACUCACCGAAGAUGCCCCCCGCUCCUUCAGUCAAAGCCUACACCAGUCCUCUGAUUGACAUGUUCAACAACCCUGCCACGGCUGGACAGAGCGCAGAGAAAAC
rnacentral:lncRNA from 1 species